UUGAACGCUGGCGGCAUGCUUUACACAUGCAAGUCGAACGGUAACAGGCCUUCGGGUGCUGACGAGUGGCGAACGGGCGAGUAAUGCAUCGGAACGUGCCCAGAGGUGGGGGAUAACGCAGCGAAAGCUGUGCUAAUACCGCAUGUGAUCUGAGGAUGAAAGCGGGGGACCAAGCAGCAAUGUUUGGCCUCGCGCCUCUGGAGCGGCCGAUGUCAGAUUAGGUAGUUGGUGGGGUAAAGGCCUACCAAGCCGACGAUCUGUAGCUGGUCUGAGAGGACGACCAGCCACACUGGGACUGAGACACGGCCCAGACUCCUACGGGAGGCAGCAGUGGGGAAUUUUGGACAAUGGGCGCAAGCCUGAUCCAGCAAUGCCGCGUGCGGGAAGAAGGCCUUCGGGUUGUAAACCGCUUUUGUACGGAACGAAAAGGCUCUGGCUAAUACCUGGGGCUGAUGACGGUACCGGAAGAAUAAGCACCGGCUAACUACGUG
rnacentral:rRNA from 1 species